rnacentral:rRNA from 1 species
UGUAAGCGUAUACCAAAGUUGUUGCAGUUAAAACGCUCGUAGUCGGAAUUUGGCAGUUCCGGAUGUGUGCACGUCGUGUGCGCACUUCGCGGGGAUUGCUUUUGUGGUCUUGCGUAGGAUGAGGCACUUUUAUUAGUGAACGUCCUCACGCAACCACUUUUUACUGUGAGAAAAUCAGAGUGCUCAAAGCAGGCAUUUGCCGUGAAUGUAUUAGCAUGGAAUAAUAGAAUAGGACUUGGUUCUAUUUUGUUGGUUUGUUGGGACUGAGUAAUGAUUAAGAGGGACAGUUGGGGGCAUUUGUAUUUCGGUGCUAAAGGUGAAAUUCUUAGAUUACCGAAAGACAAACUGCUGCGAAAGCGUCUGCCAAGGAUGUUUUCAUUGA